CAGCCGCCACGGUAAUACGAAGGGAGCUAGCGUUGCUCGGAAUUACUGGGCGUAAAGGGCGCGUAGGCGGACAGUUAAGUCGGGGGUGAAAGCCCGGGGCUCAACCUCGGAAUUGCCUUCGAUACUGGCUGUCUUGAGUGUGAGAGAGGUGUGUGGAACUCCGAGUGUAGAGGUGAAAUUCGUAGAUAUUCGGAAGAACACCAGUGGCGAAGGCGACACACUGGCUCACUACUGACGCUGAGGCGCGAAAGCGUGGGGAGCAAACAGGAUUAGAUACCCGAGUAGUCCCUGUCUCUUAUAC
rnacentral:rRNA from 1 species